rnacentral:rRNA from 1 species
UUACGUCCCCCUCCCUUUGUACACACCG